rnacentral:rRNA from 1 species
CCUACGGGAGGCAGCAGUGAGGAAUAUUGGUCAAUGGGCGGAAGCCUGAACCAACCAAGUCGCGUGAGGGAUUAAGGCCCUGCGGGUCGUAAACCUCUUUUGCCGGGGAGCAGUGGUCCGGACGCGUCCGGACCGGGAGAGUACCCGGAGAAAAAGCAUCGGCUAACUCCGUGCCAGCAGCCGCGGUAAUACGGAGGAUGCGAGCGUUAUCCGGAUUUAUUGGGUUUAAAGGGUGCGUAGGCGGGCAUUUAAGCCGGCGGUAAAAUGUCGGGGCUCAACCCCGGCCUGCCGUCGGAACUGGGUGCCUUGAGUGGGCGAGAAGUAUGCGGAAUGCGUGGUGUAGCGGUGAAAUGCAUAGAUAUCACACAGAACACCGAUUGCGAAGGCAUCUCACGAAUCCGCGAUUGACGCUGAUGCACGAAAGCGUGGGUAUCAAACAGGAUUAGAUACCCGGGUAGUC